GUUUUCGUGGUGUAACGGUAGCACAUUUGGCAUAUACUCGAGAGGUCUAGGUUCGAGUCCCGGCGAAAGUA
rnacentral:tRNA from 1 species